UGCUCCAGUUGUACAAACCACAGCUCACAGCAUGCCUGGCCAGGCACGGGAAAAGUACAGGGGGUUGUAAACGCCAAGCUGAUGAAAUCUGCGUGAGCUGUUAAAUGUUCAAACAGCAAAACCCAUUUUAGCUUUUUAUUUUCUUCAGAAUGGCUCUGGAGAGCACCUCCGAGGUGUGUCCCAGUUCCUGAGAGCAGACGGCUGAGGGGGAGGAGGAGGGAGAAGCACGGCUCUUAUGCAGGUAAGGGCUUGAAUGCCAUCGGUGACGCCAGCAGAAAUCCCUGGGAUGCAGCGACGGAGAGGGAGGUGGGAACCUCUGGAAUUAGCUUCUUGGGAUGCUGCUGCUGUCUGCACACAUUGACGCUGCUGUAGAGCCACAUGGGUUGUGAGGAUCACAUAAAACCAGGUGUUUGCAAGCAGCACAGAAACACGGGUCACCGUCAUCGAGGUUCCGAGCAAACACCACGCAGGGGAUGAAGGAGGCAGUUCACACGGCUCAAAGAAUGGUGAAAGAAAUUACUUUCAGGCUUUGCAACAGUUUCAGAAAGGUGAAAAUGAAUCUGCGCCUCGCCCCAGCCGUGUGCUGUGAGCCGACACCUUUAACGAUGUGCUUUUACUCCUGCCGUAGUUGCAGCUGAGGCCCCUCCACAGCCCCCUGUGCGUGAAUCCUGCGCUCAGGUCCGCGUGGGAGAGCAGUUGACACCUUAGAGGAAUGAAACAGCUCUGCUGGGAUUGCUGGCAGGGGAGGGAGCCUUGUGCUUUUACAGGCGUUGUAAAUUUGAUGAUGGCCCUGGCCAGAAGUGAGAAGAGGAUCCCUGCCUUGUUUCCAAUGGCAGCUUUCACCUCAUGGCCAUUAACCCUCCUUCCACCCUCAGCACGUUCUGCAGGAGCCCCUGCGUGCUCCUCAUGCAGUGCUUGGAGGCUGACGAAAACCGAGCCCUCAAUGCACAGCCCUGCUGAUGGUUCUGCAGACACCCCGUCUUGUUGCAGGGCACCACCUGAGCUCCUGGAGACAUGGGAUUAUCUGCUCUGACCUCCUCCCUGCUUCAGAACUGGUCUUUCAAGAAGUUUAUUUGGGUAAUAGUCGCUUUUCAGCUGCUGUUUCCUUGGGUAAUGGUCCCUUUUGGUUUGUUGCAGCCUCUCACAUUGCCCCAGAGUUUCCACCCAGCAGCUGUUUGGUUGCUCUGAGAGCUGUUUUUGAGUGUGACUGUUUCACUGCUCUUUCUGGUGGCUUUCUGUGGUGAAGGUUAAUGGGAAAAUCAUUCUAAAGAUUGAAUUUCCUUGGAAAGAUUUGACGGAUGGGUACAAACAAACUGAGAAGCCAUGGGUGGUGAUCUGAACAGAUACGGGGUUUGACUCAGCAGGAGAACAUGCUGCUUUUAGCAGCCUCUGUGGAGACAGGGGCUUGUAAGGUCACUCUCAACCUUCCCAGAUAGAGCUCAGUACCCUGUUCUGAGGGAAACUGCAAAAGUGAAGGAAGAUAAGGACUAUUUUAAUGUCCAUUUAUCAGAUCUGACAGCUUCAGAGCCCUCAGUAAUUAUCUGUUAAUGAGAGCAAAUAAAUGUUACCUCUGGCCCCUCUAGUUCAGCGGUGUCACUCAGGUCACCUCGCAGGGGCUGGGAGGGGGGACAUCAGGAUUGACACUCCCUGGGACAGGAAAGAAGGGACAGUAGAAGGGAGGAGCAUGGAUUGGGAAGUGCAGAAGCCUCCAGCAUGGCCAGUGGUGGAUCCAUGGGGUGAGGAGGGGCUCCAUGUGCAGGGCUCUGUUGCAGCGACAGCAAGGUAAUAGAGGGAACGUCAGGUGCCCAGAAAGGAAUCCUGGUCUGUAGAAAGAAUCAAACCUAGAGAGACCAAGGAAUGUGAGACCCUCUACUUUAACUUUCGCUCUGGACACUUCUGUCCUAUUAUCAGUUGGGAUGUGAGCUGAACCGGGCUCCAGUGAUUUAUCUACAGUGACAGAGCUACAGUGCCUGAAAUGGAACAAGGAAGCUUAAUCUCUGCUUUUCUGCACAAGUUGGAAAUUUGGAAUCCCAGGUUUCCCUUUCCCCGUCAGGGGUUUGCACCACAUAGAGAAGUUUUUGGCAAAACCAAGUGUCCAGUUUAACAGCAGAAGACCUUUGAUGUGACAGGGAGGAUGUCAGCUCCUCAGGGAAAAACUGAGAGUGCUGUGCCCAGUUUGGUGAGUUCAAUGACAUUUUCAAGCCUUAGGAAACAAGUCUUGAGGAUCUUCUACCCAGUGCAACCACUACAUGUGUAUUUAAUAGCUAGGAUGAGUUGUUUUAGUACUGGAAGGUCUAUCCUGAAUCACAGUCCUGCUGUGGGACAGCACAGCCCUCUCCUUUCCCAGCCUUGCAGUCUCCUCUCACUCAGCUUUCUAACGUGGAGAAGUAGUAACUUUAAGUCUCACUGUUAAUUUACCUCAUCUGCAGUUUACAUGUGUGCAGGGGGAGGUAAUCACAGAGCUGCCUUCCCUGCUGUUCUCUUCCUGAGGUUUCACACUCUCCAAAUUUCUUUUUGUCAUAAAUCAAAUUAACUAAAUUGCUUAAGAAGUACUGUUCUAUUAAAAGCAGAUAGUGUUGUGAUGCCAAAAGGUUUAUUAGGAGAACUGUAUUUUUAAUAGUAAUACUUCGAGAUUACUGACUGCUAAGUCAGAGUUUCAAAGUUUAAAGACUGCUUAAAACUCCUGUGAAAUAAAUAUUUUGGUAGGUAUUUACAGAGGCCUACAGCAAGGUACAAAUGGAUGAAAACAUAUAAAUGUGGCUAAAAUAUUGGUUAUUUUAUUUGCUGAAGAUCCUUGGAUCCCCACACAAAGCUGUAGAGGUGCCUGAAGUCUUGGUAGUCCUGAGUGGGUUUGGGAAGCUCCUGAGGCAUAAAGAGUGAGCCCAGCUGGUGCAUCCAUGGACUCCUUCACAGGAUGCAGCGACGCACUUCAUGAACCAGCUUGUCCCCUUUAUUAGGAGCUGUUCCAGGAGGAAAGUGGUGUGGGAGAACAGCAAAAAAAAAGCAAGGCUCCCCCGUGUUUGAGUUUCCUUCCUGAUGGAAAAGCAGCAGCAGGGGAGGGUAAAGUCCCCUCCAUAUCCUGCUGUGUGUCCCAAAAGAAUGCACCACGCUGGGCUGGGCUCCUGGAGUGCUCAGGGGCGAGGUGGUGCUGGUACCAUGAGCACCUCUGAGCCUCGGGCAGCCACCCUGUGCUGCUGCUCUCUGCUCACUGCAAGGAUGGAGGCAGUGGGCAGAAAUGCUGCUUGAGUGCCCAGAAGGUACUUAUUUGCGAAUAUUUUUAAAUCCCAUUUGCCCUCCUCUCUUAAUUUGAAGGCUUAAGCUAAAUUCAUGGAAAGGCACAGAAUCUGUCCCUGUAAUACCCAUGAAGCAGAGACCCUCAGGUUCCUGGCAGCCGCAGAGCAGACCCUGGUGAGAACCACCCUGCCUGCACCUUGCCCAGUCCUGCACCCAAUUCUGCCUGUUAUGGAGCAGAGCAUCCCACCAGGAAGUGACCAAAAUCCCCACAGGAGGUUUGCUGCAGUGGUAACAGGUGAAAUUUCUAUUUUGCUGAGAGAUUUGCUGUGUGUCAGUGGGAGCUGCACAGCUGUGCACUGUUCUGCUGCGUCACCAAAAAUACAUCCUCUGCUGCAGCUGUGAUUUCCAGCUCAUGGUCUGUUGCCUCCUUAUUGUCUCCUGGCAAGGGAUAAUUUCAGUCCUGCCCUAGUACCUGUUCUCUUUCUGUACAUUAUCCUAGAUGAAAGAAAGAAGGCCCCUCUGCGAAGAUCUGGUGUUCUGCCUGUGGGGUUGAUGCUGAGGCUCCCGGGGCUGGCUGGACUCUUCUGGUGCCUCUGGACAAGGAACUGGCUGCUUGCCUGCUUGUGAGGACAAUAAAUAUUACCCUGUCCCAGCUUUGCUAGUCUGAAACACUGACAGGAAAGCUUUUCAGGUCAGAGUAUUUGAGAAACUCUAUAGAAAUGCUACAUUUAGGCUGUAAUUACUGAGUGCUGUCCCCGUGACUGGCUCUGGAGUCACCACGGAGGAGCUGCCAGCACUGUCAGGUAUCGAGGGUUAUUAUGGGCACCCCUGCAACAGCAGACUAAGAAAAUGUGAUGAGCUGGUCUCUCUGAGACAUGUAAAAAACAAGCAGGUAUUGCUUGUGUUGGACACAGGUGACUGGAGCUCCUUGCACCCUCUCAGUGCAGGACCAGGAGGGCUGGGUCUGCCCCGUGCCAAGUCCCCCUCUCGCCACAGAGAGCUGGGCACUCACACCCUCCCUGUGCUACAGUGAGUUUUCCCAGCACUGUGCAUUGCACUGCUCACACUGGCAUUGUGGGAUAAAAGGGAAUGAUGUGUGUGGAGCCUCCCUGCAAAAAGAGGUUUUUUCUCUUUUUUUUUUUUUUUUUUGCCUUUCUUUGCUAAAAGCAGGACUCUGCCCGCACUGCAGAGCAGGGGCAGCCAAGGCGAGUGCAGAAUCCAGUCCUCGUCCACAAGCACCAGCAUCCCCUCAGCUGGCAGUGGGCAUUCAGGGGACUCAGUGGCAGCAGCACGAGGUGAGGUUUUCUGUCUCAUCCUCUCCAGCCGCACAGGAAGUGUUGCUGUGGGCUGAGUUCUCCUUCCCUUUCGAUCAAGCUGUGACGUACCUCGCUUUGCCCUUUGGCUUUCCUUAGGUCACAGCAGCAGCUUCACGUGGUGUUUUUCUGGGCUCAGGUUUUGAUUGUAUCCUUUACCUGGAGUUUAUUUUUGCUCUCUAGAAAAAAGACCCGACUAAUUGAUGAUACCUGCACUCAGAAGCUGCACAUCCAAAUCCUGCUGUGGGAAACAGCCCCCUCCACAUGUGAGACUCCACAAACUGGUGUGGGAGUCAGGUCCAGAGACCCAAGUGCAAUUUUGCCAGUAGCUCCAGUCCCUGGCUUAGGUGAACCUGGUUUCUGUCACUCCAAAACACUGAGAGAGGUCCUGUUAAAGGAAGAUACACAAACCUGUGCCUACUGCCUUCCCUUGUUAGCCUUGCCUGAGGUGUCAGGAAUAUCACAAAGCAGGGGCUGGAGUUUCCCAAAGAGCUCCUCUUGGCUUUUGGGUAGAGCUGGAAGAAGUUUGCAGGAGAUGUGAGUAACUGUGUGUUGCUGACCUGCUUUUAUCAGAAAUGAACACAUAAAGGAAGAAGGAAAACGGACAGGUGGGGGAUGGAACAGGCUGAGAUUGAGCCCUCCUGACAAGAAACACCCCAAAGGCAGGCUGGCUGCCGGCCAGCCCUCUGCUCUGAGAGGCUCUUCCCACAGCACACACAGAUUAAAUACAAUUAAGAAAAAACAGUAUUAAAAGAAUAAGAACAAAAUAUAGAUUAUAUAAAAACUCUCCAGUACUGGGGCAUCAUCUGGCCACAGGGAGAAAUUUCCUGUACAGACCAGUCACUGUUUGUUACAGCCUCUACAACUGCAGCAGAAGAGCUUUUUAUUUGAAAGUUGAUACUAAAAAGCUUGGCAACAAUGAAGUGUGCACCUUCCUUUCCUAGUCCACAGUCAUUUCCUGUGAAAUACAAGGGCAAGUACAUAUAUGAAUAUUUAAUUUGACAGUGAUGAAGCUUUAUAUAUUAAGUCAGUGAAAAUGCUGUUAAAGCUCAUGGGAGCAAUACUACUUGUGUAGUGAGUUGGGAAUUUGGUACCCAGUGGCUACCAUUUAAUUUUGACAUGAAGCAUAAAGACAAACAUUAUUCCAACCUAUUGAAAGUGUUUUUGGGAAUGUGUUGUGCUCAAAUUGCAAAUUAAUUUUUAGUUUAUAGGUGAUAAUGGUUUAUCAAGGCUUUUCCCCAGGGGAAGCAGAAAUCACAGCAAUUCUUGUACAAAUUGUAUCCCAAAUUACAGAUCAGAAGUUAUUUAUUUUGCAAAUAGUGAGGUUAAAUCAAGAAGCCUUUUUUUUUCUACAUAUAGUAAAAUUUUCUUAUCAUAAUACACAUUAAUCUAAAAUUAUGAUAUUCCCAGUCCUUUAUAUGUGUGGUCUUUUUUUUAUAAGUCUUUAAUUUAGGCAGCCAUUUUCUGUUCAGUAAAAAAAAUGAAAUAAAGAGGGGACAUCCACUGCGGGCUUUCUCCUGGA